rnacentral:rRNA from 1 species
AUUGAACGCUGGCGGAAUGCUUUACACAUGCAAGUCGAACGGCGGCACGGGGGCAACCCUGGUGGCGAGUGGCGAACGGGGGAGUAAUACACCGGAACGUGCUCGGCCGCGGGGGAUAACGUAGCGAAAGUUACGCUAAUACCGCAUACGAUCUGAGGAUGAAAGAGGGGGACCUUCGGGCCUCGCCCGAUCGGAGCGGCCGAUGUCGGAUUCGGUAGUUGGUGGGGUAAAUGCCUACCAAGCCGGCGAUCGGUAGCUGGUCUGAGAGGACGACCAGCCACGCUGGAACUGGGACACGGCCCAGACGCCUGCGGGAGGCAGCAGUGGGGAAUUUUGGACAGAGGGGGCAAGCCUGAUCCAGCCAUUCCGCGUGCAGGACGAAGGCCUUCGGGUUGUAAAGUGCUUUUGUAUGGAGCGAAAAGGCUCUGGCUAAUACCUGGGGCUCAUGACGGUACCGUAAGAAUAAGCACCGGCUAACUACGUG